rnacentral:rRNA from 1 species
GGAUUAGAUACCCUGGUAGUCCUAACCGUAAACUAUGGACACUAGAUGUUGGGGGAGUCAAUCUUUCCAGCGUCGUCGCUAACGCAAUAAGUAUCCCGCCUGGGGAGUACGCUCGCAAGGGUGAAACUCAAAGGAAUUGACGGGGGCCCGCACAAGCGGUGGAGCAUGUGCUUUAAUUCGAUGCAACGCGAAGAACCUUACCUGGGUUUGACAUGGGAGUGAAAGUUCCCAGAGAUGGGAGCCUUUCCGCAAGGAACACUCUACACAGGUGCUGCAUGGUUGUCGUCAGCUCGUGCUG